CUACGGGGUGCACCAGUGAGGAAUAUUGCACAAUGGGGGGAACCCUGAUGCAGCAACGCCGCGUGGAGGAUGACGCAUUUCGGUGUGUAAACUCCUUUUAUAUGUCAAGAAAAUGACGGUAGCAUAUGAAUAAGCACCGGCUAACUCCGUGCCAGCAGCCGCGGUAAUACGGAGGGCGCAAGCGUUACUCGGAAUCACUGGGCGUAAAGGACGCGUAGGCGGGUUGGAAAGUCAGGUGUGAAAUCCUACAGCUUAACUGUAGAACUGCACUUGAAACUUCUAAUCUAGAGUAUGGGAGGGGGAGAUGGAAUUAGUGGUGUAGGGGUAAAAUCCGUAGAUAUCACUAGGAAUACCUAAGGCGAAGGCGAUCUCCUGGAACAUUACUGACGCUAAGGCGUGAAAGCGUGGGGAGCAAACAGGAUUAGAUACCCGCGUAGUC
rnacentral:rRNA from 1 species